UAGGGAAUCUUCCACAAUGGGCGAAAGCCUGAUGGAGCAACGCCGCGUGUGUGAUGAAGGGUUUCGGCUCGUAAAACACUGUUGUAAGAGAAGAAUGACAUUGAGAGUAACUGUUCAAUGUGUGACGGUAUCUUACCAGAAAGGAACGGCUAAAUACCUGCCAG
rnacentral:rRNA from 1 species